GAUGAAGAACGUAGCGAAAUGCGAUACGUAAUGUGAAUUGCAGAAUUCAGUGAAUCAUCGAAUCUUUGAAUGCACAUUGCGCCUGCCAGCACUCUGGCAGGCAUGCCUGUUCGAGCGUCAUUUCAACCAUCAAGCCCUAGGCUUGCGUUGGAGCCCUGCGGCUGCCGCAGGCCCCUAAAAGCAGUGGCGGGCUCGCUAUCACACCGAGUGCAGUAGAUUACUCUUCGCUCAGGGCGUGUGGCGGGUUCCAGCCGUGAAACCCCCUACUUCUCAAGGUUGACCUCGGAUCAGGUAGGAAUACCCGCUGAACUUAAGCAUAUCAAUAAGCGGAGGA
rnacentral:misc_RNA from 1 species